rnacentral:rRNA from 1 species
GAACGCUGGCGGCGUGCCUAAUACAUGCAAGUCGAGCGGACAGAAGGGAGCUUGCUCCCGGAUGUUAGCGGCGGACGGGUGAGUAACACGUGGGUAACCUGCCUGUAAGACUGGGAUAACUCCGGGAAACCGGAGCUAAUACCGGAUAGUUCCUUGAACCGCAUGGUUCAAGGAUGAAAGACGGUUUCGGCUGUCACUUACAGAUGGACCCGCGGCGCAUUAGCUAGUUGGUGGGGUAAUGGCUCACCAAGGCGACGAUGCGUAGCCGACCUGAGAGGGUGAUCGGCCACACUGGGACUGAGACACGGCCCAGACUCCUACGGGAGGCAGCAGUAGGGAAUCUUCCGCAAUGGACGAAAGUCUGACGGAGCAACGCCGCGUGAGUGAUGAAGGUUUUCGGAUCGUAAAGCUCUGUUGUUAGGGAAGAACAAGUGCGAGAGUAACUGCUCGCACCUUGACGGUACCUAACCAGAAAGCCACGGCUAACUAC